CCAAACCCAGUAAUUAACCCUCCAGAUAAACGAACCAGAACUGUCCUUCCUCCUACCUUGCCCCUACCUAUAGCUCCACUUGCUUGAGCUAACCAACCUUCUCAACAUUGUGGUCACUCGCAUGGUGACCUGCCUUGUCGACGUAUCAAUAAUGCCUGCUAUCGGUGCGAAAGCACCCAACACCUUAUAAAAGACUACUCUCAGUGACCAAAUGAUAUAGCACGACCUGUAGCACAAGGUCGAGUGUACCACUUAGAUGAAUCUGAUGUCCUUCCUGCUCCUAUCCUCAUCUAGUGUAUGUUUUAAUAUUCAUAAUACUUCUACUAAGGCUUUGAUUGAUGUUGAUGUAACUCACUCUUUAUUUUUGAUGCAUUUGCUUGUAACCUAGAAUUUAGACCAGAAACUUUUAGGAAAAACGCUAAUGGUGGAAACUCGUUC
rnacentral:lncRNA from 1 species